GAUGAACGCUAGCGGCAGGCUUAACACAUGCAAGUCGAGGGGCAGCGCGGGAUAGCAAUAUCCUGGCGGCGACCGGCGGAAGGGUGCGUAACGCGUGAGCGACAUGCCCGUUGCCCGGGGACAACCGGUGGAAACGCCGACUAAUCCCCGAUGGGAUAUUGUGCCGCAUGGCACGAUAUUGAAAGUUACGGCGGCGACGGAUUGGCUCGCGUCCGAUUAGCUGGUGGGCGGGGUAACGGCCCACCAAGGCUGCGAUCGGUAGGGGUUCUGAGAGGAAGGCCCCCCACAAUGGGACUGAGACACGGCCCAUACUCCUACGGGAGGCAGCAGUGAGGAAUAUUGGUCAAUGGGCGGAAGCCUGAACCAGCCAUGCCGCGUGCGGGAAGGAGGCCCUAUGGGCUGUGAACCGCUUUUGCCUGGGGGCAAUAAGGGCGUCGCGCACGUCCGAUGAGAGUACCAGGCGAAUAAGCAUCGGCUAACUCCGUG
rnacentral:rRNA from 1 species